GUGCUUGUUUCAGCAACACAUUCUAAAAUUGGAACAAUACAGGGAAGAUUAGUAUGGCCCCUGCACAAGGAUGACACGCAAAUUCAUGAAGCGUUUCAUGUUUUU